CUAUAGCUUACUAUAGAAGGUAACCAUGGCGGACGGGUGAGUAACGCGUAAAGAACCUACCUAACAGACUGGGAUAACAGAGGGAAACUUCUGAUAAGACUGGAUAUAAUUAAUGUAUUGCAUGAUUGAUUAAUGAGAAGAGAUGCUGAUAGAGGGCUUUGCGUCCUAUUAGCUAGUUGGUGUGGGUAAAGGCUCACCAAGGCGAAGAUAGGUAGCCGGCCUGAGAGGGUGGACGGCCACAAGGGGACUGAGAUACGGCCCUUACUCUUACGGGAGGCAGCAGUGGGGAAUAUUGGACAAUGGAGGAGACUCUGAUCCAGCAAUUCUGUGUGCAUGAAGAAGGUUUUCGGAUUGUAAAGUGCUUUCAGCAGGGAAGAAGGAAGUGACGGUACCUGCAGAAGAAGCGACGGCUAAAUACGUGCCAGCAGCCGCGGUAAUACGUAUGUCGCGAGCGUUAUCCGGAAUUAUUGGGCAUAAAGGGCAUCUAGGCGGUAGAACAAGUCAGGGGUGAAAACUUGCGGCUCAACUGCAAGCUUGCCUUUGAAACUGUGUUACUAGAGUAUUGGAAAGGUGGGCGGAACUACACGAGUAGAGGUGAAAUUCGUAGAUAUGUGUAGGAAUGCCGAUGAUGAAGAUAGCUCACUGGACGAUAACUGACGCUGAAGUGCGAAAGCUAGGGGAGCAAACAGGAUUAGAUACCCUGGUAGUCCUAGCUGUAAACGAUGAUUACUGGGUGUGGGCAGGAAGACUGUCUGUGCCGAAGCA
rnacentral:rRNA from 1 species